CGUAGACUCCUACGGGAGGCAGCAGUGGGGAAUAUUGCACAAUGGGCGCAAGCCUGAUGCAGCCAUGCCGCGUGUAUGAAGAAGGGCCUUCGGGUUGUAAAGUACUUUCAGCAGUGAGGAAGGUGGAUGCGUUAAUAGCGUAUUCAUUUGACGUUAGCUGCAGAAGAAGCACCGGCUAACUCCGUGCCAGCAGCCGCGGUAAUACGGAGGGGGGUUAGCGUUGUUCGGAAUUACUGGGCGUAAAGCGCGCGUAGGCGGACUAGAAAGUUGGGGGGUGAAAUCCCGGGGCUCAACCUCGGAACUGCCUUCAAAACUCCUAGUCUAGAGUUCGAGAGAGGUGAGUGGAAUUCCAAGUGUAGAGGUGAAAUUCGUAGAUAUUUGGAGGAACACCAGUGGCGAAGGCGGCUCACUGGCUCGAUACUGACGCUGAGGUGCGAAAGUGUGGGGAGCAAACAGGAUUAGAUACCCUGGUAG
rnacentral:rRNA from 1 species